rnacentral:rRNA from 1 species
CGCGUAGGCGGCUCGGUAAGGUUGCGGUGAAAGCCCGGGGCUCAACCCCGGGUCGGCCGUGGCAACUGCUGGGCUGGAGCACUGUAGAGGCAGGUGGAAUUCCGGGUGUAGCGGUGGAAUGCGUAGAGAUCCGGAAGAACACCGGUGGCGAAGGCGGCCUGCUGGGCAGUAGCCGACGCUGAUGCGCGACAGCGUGGGGAGCAAACA